rnacentral:misc_RNA from 1 species
UGCACUUGUGAAGCAGAGGCAGG